AUUUAGAGCUCUGCUGUCCCCACCAUCACCACCGCCAAACCUUCAGAGGAAGCGAAACUUCCAGAAUUUUCUAAUGACAUAAAUGACAUACCACUCCUGCAGGCAUCCAGGAGACUAUGCUUUACAUUGACGUCCCUCCAGAUUUCCUCUGGGGUCCACAAUGCCCGCACACCCCUUAAGAGUGAUGUUGACGUUUUCCGGAAGGGUGAUAGACCAAAGGCUGAGCAUGCUCUUCAUUUUUGAAGCAGUUGUAGCAAAGACUGAGGAAUUAUCUUAACUGCCUUAGUCGACGUGGGAUAACCUGCCCCGCUCAUGAGCAGACACUUCUGGAGGCAGCCCAGACAAGGAGGCGACGCAAGAGGAAGAUCUCACCGUUUUCAUGCUUGGUCUUCUCUCUUGCCACUGAGUUAAUUCUUCUCACUACGGCUGAUUCCUUAGCUGAUUCAUGACCAUGUUUCCAGGUUUCCAUUAUUGACUACGGACCAGCAGCACUCCAGGGACAACCUUCCCUCCCCAGGUUUUCAGGACCAGAUUUGGAGUGCUGAGGCAGCCAGCUGCCUGGACUGGAUUUUUUCAGCUUCUCUGGUGUUACGUCACUGUGGGAUUACUCCAAUGAGUGAGAACUCCAGCUGCUUGCGUUCUUAGUCUCUCGUGUAGGAUCCAGCUGUUAUGAUCCAUUUCAAAGUUGGCUAAUUAGAAUCUUCAAAUAUAUACUUAUUCAUUCUAGUAGUUCUGCACUCUACAGCCCCCGACCACCACAGAUGUCACAAAAUAAGACCCUCCAAGUCCCAAUUUCAUGUACUGCCCUUGCCUUACAGGGGGGGCUAAUAAACAGACCCAGUUCACUACAAACAACAUUAGAGACAGUCACUCCAAUGACACUUCUCCUUUAUAAAACGAAAAGAAGGAGCUGUCAGACCGUGGACCUAUGCCAAAAGGCUUGGUAAAGCAGAGCAGCUCUGAGACCCCAGUACCCAGGUACCCACUUAAAACAGCAGGUGCCUCCCUGCUCCUGCCGAUUCCUGGCCUGGAACACGUGCCACACUACCCAUGUUGGUCACAGGUUGGUCAUUAGCAGAGUUCUCCAUGCUAAUGAGGUACCUAGAGGCCUUGAGGGUUUGGCCAAUAACCUUCCCUCCCCAGACAUUCCUUCCUACAAAAGGUAUUUAAUCUCUGGCCCACCCUGAGAAGUUGGUACACAUCUAUUUUCCACAAUAAACAACUAAUAAACAGUCUGAAACCAA